AAAUAAUGGGAGCAUGAACUUUGCAGAAAAGAUAAAAAUGGAAUGAAGACAGAACUCUGUGAGAGAAAGAACAUAGUAACUAUUCUAAUGAUGUUGGGAUCCUCAGUCUUCCAGAGGAUGGCAAUGGGAUUUGCUAAUACAGGAUGGGAGAGAGAAUGAUGUGUGAGUGUCUGUGAUGAAGAUGUCACACUUACAGCAGAAACUGAGAAACAGUGGAUAACUUCUGAAAUCUUUGGGUAUAAUCAUCUAUCUUGUGUGAUCUAAUAAUUUAAGAAAGAAGUGAUUAUGCUGUUGAAAUCGUGAAGAUUUUACAGCUGGACAUUUGAGAGACAAUAAUGUCUGUGUCGGACUUUGCCUGUGCAACCCCAGCUCCAGUGAAGGGGCAGAGCUGUGUUUGUGAC
rnacentral:lncRNA from 1 species